UCGGAGAGUUUGAUCCUGGCUCAGGACGAACGCUGGCGGCGUGCCUAAUACAUGCAAGUCGAGCGGACAGAAGGGAGCUUGCUCCCGGAUGUUAGCGGCGGACGGGUGAGUAACACGUGGGUAACCUGCCUGUAAGACUGGGAUAACUCCGGGAAACCGGAGCUAAUACCGGAUAGUUCCUUGAACCGCAUGGUUCAAGGAUGAAAGACGGUUUCGGCUGUCACUUACAGAUGGACCCGCGGCGCAUUAGCUAGUUGGUGGGGUAAUGGCUCACCAAGGCGACGAUGCGUAGCCGACCUGAGAGGGUGAUCGGCCACACUGGGACUGAGACACGGCCCAGACUCCUACGGGAGGCAGCAGUAGGGAAUCUUCCGCAAUGGACGAAAGUCUGACGGAGCAACGCCGCGUGAGUGAUGAAGGUUUUCGGAUCGUAAAGCUCUGUUGUUAGGGAAGAACAAGUGCGAGAGUAACUGCUCGCACCUUGACGGUACCUAACCAGAAAGCCACGGCUAACUACGUGCCAGCAGCCGCGGUAAUACGUAGGUGGCAAGCGUUGUCCGGAAUUAUUGGGCGUAAAGGGCUCGCAGGCGGUUUCUUAAGUCUGAUGUGAAAGCCCCCGGCUCAACCGGGGAGGGUCAUUGGAAACUGGGAAACUUGAGUGCAGAAGAGGAGAGUGGAAUUCCACGUGUAGCGGUGAAAUGCGUAGAGAUGUGGAGGAACACCAGUGGCGAAGGCGACUCUCUGGUCUGUAACUGACGCUGAGGAGCGAAAGCGUGGGGAGCGAACAGGAUUAGAUACCCUGGUAGUCCACGCCGUAAACGAUGAGUGCUAAGUGUUAGGGGGUUUCCGCCCCUUAGUGCUGCAGCUAACGCAUUAAGCACUCCGCCUGGGGAGUACGGUCGCAAGACUGAAACUCAAAGGAAUUGACGGGGGCCCGCACAAGCGGUGGAGCAUGUGGUUUAAUUCGAAGCAACGCGAAGAACCUUACCAGGUCUUGACAUCCUCUGACAACCCUAGAGAUAGGGCUUUCCCUUCGGGGACAGAGUGACAGGUGGUGCAUGGUUGUCGUCAGCUCGUGUCGUGAGAUGUUGGGUUAAGUCCCGCAACGAGCGCAACCCUUGAUCUUAGUUGCCAGCAUUCAGUUGGGCACUCUAAGGUGACUGCCGGUGACAAACCGGAGGAAGGUGGGGAUGACGUCAAAUCAUCAUGCCCCUUAUGACCUGGGCUACACACGUGCUACAAUGGACAGAACAAAGGGCUGC
rnacentral:rRNA from 1 species